ACAGCAGGCUCAGCUGCAGGGUGUGAAAUCAGACUAAUACAGAUGCUUGAGCGGGAGCAGGAGGUGGCUCCUGUGUGACUUUCUCAGGCUAGAGGUGGAGAGGAAAAAAAAAAGAAAGAGGGGACUGUAACGGCAUAGAGGGGGAAAAAGAGACAGUAAGGCAAAGGACAGUGAAAUAAGCGCGUCUUCUGCUUCACAGUUGGUUGCCUGUCUGUGAGGGAGGUGUUUGAACAGCCUACAAACUACUGUGACAAAAGGUGAUGCUUUCAUCCUGAUUUGUCCUUCUUGGACCUGGGAGUCCCUGAAUCCCAGUAUGGCUUUGGAACACCCUGGAAAUACCUGGACUUCUAGGAGUGUAUAACCAAAAGAUCUUGAGGUGCCCAGGCGCCGCAGUGAUAGCUUUACAUUUGCCUGUACAAUUUUGACACCAAACAAAAGAAGAAAUAGAGGAGAGGACUUUAGCAAUAGCUGCCACAAUUGUUUCGACAAGCCUACUGUGACCAGGAGGACUCGACCUUUGGGCCGGCGGGCUUCAAACCGACACUUGAAAAGAGAACGCCGCCAGGGAGGCAUCCGUGUGGUAGCAAGACAGACCAAAAAACCCU